rnacentral:rRNA from 1 species
UUCCGGUUGAUCCCGCCGGACCUGACUGCUAUCGGAUUGAUACUAAGCCAUGCGAGUCAUUGCAGCAAUGCAAGGCAGACGGCUCAGUAACGCGUAGUCAACCUAACCUAUGGACGGGAAUAACCUCGGGAAACUGAGAAUAAUGCCCGAUAGAACACUAUACCUGGAAUGGUUUGUGUUCCAAAUGAUCUAUCGCCGCAGGAUGGGACUGCGGCCUAUCAGUUUGUUGGUGAGGUAAUGGCCCACCAAGACUAUUACAGGUACGGGCUCUGAGAGGAGUAGCCCGGAGAUGGGUACUGAGACACGGACCCAGGCCCUAUGGGGCGCAGCAGGCGAGAAAACUUUGCAAUGUGCGAAAGCACGACAAGGUUAAUCCGAGUGGUUUCUGCUAAAGGAACCUUUUGUUAGUCCUAGAAACACUAACGAAUAAGGGGUGGGCAAGUUCUGGUGUCGGCCGCCGCGGUAAAACCAGCACCUCAAGUGGUCAGGAUGAUUAUUGGGCCUAAAGCAUCCGUAGCCGGCUCUGUAAGUUUUCGGUUAAAUCUGUACGCUCAACGUACAGGCUGCCGGGAAUACUGCAGAGCUAGGGAGUGGGAGAGGUAGACGGUACUCGGGAGGAAGUGGUAAAAUGCUUUGAUCUCUCGCUGACCACCUGUGGCGAAGGCGGUCUACCAGAACACGUCCGACGGUGAGGGAUGAAAGCUGGGGGAGCAAACCGGAUUAGAUACCCGGGUAGUCCCAGCUGUAAACUAUGCAAACUCAGUGAUGCAUUGGCUUGUGGCCAAUGCAGUAUUGCAGGGAAGCCGUUAAGUUGCCGCCUGGGAAGUACGACGCAAGUAGA